CCUUUACCGUUGGUUCACCCCAAAAUGGCUGCUGCGGCCAGUGCACCGCGCUGAUCUGAUGGCAGGAGCCAGGUGCUUUUCCUGGUCUCCCAUGUGGGUGCAGGGCCCAAGCACUUGGGCCAUCCUCCACUGCACUCCCGGGCCACAGCAGAGAGCUGGCCUGGAAGAGGGGCAACCGGGACAGAAUCCGGCACCCCGACUGGGACUAGAACCCGGGGUGCCAGCGCUGCAAGGCGGAGGAUUAGCCUUGUGAGCCACGGCACCGGCCAAGAGCUCAUCUUUUAAACUUGAUUUUUCAUGAACUUUUGAAGUGCCCUCUGUACAAGUGGAAAAGGAUCUGGAGCCAGAACACUGAGAUGGCAAUUGCCUCUUGGUGCAGUCUUUUGCUUCGGCCCCUUCUGGAAGACUACACCUCAAGACUGCGUUCAUGUUCCAGAGACACAAGAAACGGCCUUCCUGCGGAGAGUUUGGUGUGGUGGCCUUCCUGUCACUGGACUGCACACAGGGAGG